AGUGCAGGCGGUUUUUUAAAGUCUGAUGUGAAAGCCUUCGGCUUAACCGAAGAAAUGCAUUGGAAACUGGGAAACUUGAGUGCAGAAGAGGAGAGUGGAACUCCAUGUGUAGCGGUGAAAUGCGUAGAUAUAUGGAAGAACACCAGUGGCGAAGGCGGCUCUCUGGUCUGUAACUGACGCUGAGGCUCGAAAGCGUGGGUAGCAAACA
rnacentral:rRNA from 1 species